GGCUCCGUAGCUUAAUUGGAUAGAGUACCUGACUACGGAUCAGGCGGUUGAAGGUUCGAAUCCUUCCGGAGUCA
rnacentral:tRNA from 1 species